rnacentral:rRNA from 1 species
CCCUUAGUAGCGGCGAGCGAAAAGGGAUGAGCCCAGCGCCGAAUCCCCGGCCUCCGGUCGUGGGAAAUGUGGCGUUUAGGAGUGAGCGUGCCGGGUGCGGAACUGGCGGCAAGUCCCCCUGACCGGGGCCUGUCCGUAGCGGGUGCGAGGCCCAUAGCCGCCGGAACCGUCUCGCAUGCGAUCUCCUGGGAGUCGGGUUGCUUGGGAGUGCAGCCCUAAUCGGGUGGUAAACUCCACCUAAGGCUAAAUACCGCCGUGAGACCGAUAGCAAACAAGUACCGUGAGGGAAAGUUGCAAAGAACUUUGAAGAGAGAGUUCAAGAGUACGUGAAACUGCUCAGAGGUAAACGGGUGGGCCCUCGAAAUCCUGUGGCGAGAGGAUUCAGUCUGUGCGGGCGGACGCUCGGGAGGAAAUUCCGAGUAGGGCUUCCGCGGACGCGGGCCGUCCUUCUGGGCGACCUCAACCCGCGCAGACGCAUUUGUCUCUCGUCCGAUGGACGCUGCAGCCGGUCUGGAAGCUGCAAGCGCGACGGCCUGAGGGCCGGGAGCCGGCAGGUGGCCGGUGGCUCGCCGCGUGCGGGUCGCCGGUUGUUAGCCWUCCCGGCAGUGGCACGUCUCCAGACCGUGGUUAAGCGAGUCCCUUCGGGGACUCCUCGUCUCCGCCCCUCGAGGCGUGGGCCAGGGCGCGGCCCGGGUCCCGGGCGUCGUUCGACCGUCGCACUCCGUCGGAGUGGGCGGAAGAGCCCAGGGACCUGACAUGCCGCGACGGACCUGCGGGGGAUUGGAGGCUCGCAGCGAGUAGGUCGGUCACCCACCCGACCCGUCUUGAAACACGGACCAAGGAGUCUAACAUGUGCGCGAGUCAGUGGGUCUUGAACAGGCCCACGGGCGCAAUGAAAGCGAAGGACUUGCCGAGCGCGGUCCGUGCGGGGAUCCCUGCCCCUCGGGGUGGGGCGCACCCGCGACCCGUCCUAUCCGGCUCGCCGGUUGGGCGGAGUCUGAGCGUACACGUUGGGACCCGAAAGAUGGUGAACUAUGCCCGGGCAGGACGAGGCCAGAGGAAACUCUGGUGGAGGUCCGCAGCGGUUCUGAC